CUCAAAGAACUGUCUGGAUGAGGUGGAGUUUAAAGCACUGAUAUCUGAUGUGAUCUUCUUAAACUUCAAGUCUGUUAGAGAAAGAAUAAGAAACACUCACAAUGAUGCUCCAAUCUGUCAUUCUGCUUUCUGCUUUUGCAUAUGCAACGUAUGGAAAUGAAAUUAAACCAACCAAAACAAAGGAUUUUGCUGAUGAGGGUUCAAAUGUUACAUUAUCCUGCAGUUAUUCAUCUGCAUACCAUCUUCACUGGUAUCGUCAGUAUCCUGGAUCAGCACCUGAAUUCAUUGUGCUCCUUUCAGAGAGUGCACAAGCUCAGAAGUCUUUUGUAGAUCCCAGAUUCACUGCCAAAGUCAGAAAAGGCCAAGAAAACCAUGUGGAUCUAGAGAUCACCAAUGCAUCUGUAUCAGACUCUGCUCUGUACUACUGCGCCCUGCAGCCCACAUAUCCCGGAUCAGCUCCUGAGUUCAUUGUGCUCAUCUCAGAUGGUGUAAAAGAAGCUCAGGAUUCUAAUGUAGAUUCCAGAUUUACAACCAAAUUUACUACAGUCAAUAAAGAAAACCAUGUGGAUCUGGAGAUCUCCUCUGCUGCUGUAUCAGACUCUGCUCUGUACUACUGUGCCCUGCAGCCCACAUGUGCCGGGGGCAAGACAGAGUUGAACAGCCUUUGA